rnacentral:rRNA from 1 species
GUGUCAGCAGCCGCGGUAAUACGUAGGUCACAAGCGUUAUCCGGAAUUAUUGGGCGUAAAGGGAGCGCAGGCGGUUUAUCAAGUUUGUGGUUAAAGUUCGGGGCUCAACCCCGUGAUGCCACAGAAACUGGUAGACUAGGGUGCGGGAGAGGUGAGUGGAAUUCCAUGUGUAGCGGUAAAAUGCGUAGAUAUAUGGAGGAACACCAGUGGCGAAGGCGGCUCACUGGCCUGUUACUGACGCUGAGGCUCGAAAGCGUGGGGAGCAAAUAGGAUUAGAAACCCGAGUAGUC